GACGAACGCUGGCGGCGUGCCUAAUACAUGCAAGUAGAACGCUGAAGGAGGAGCUUGCUCUUCUGGAUGAGUUGCGAACGGGUGAGUAACGCGUAGGUAACCUGCCUGGUAGCGGGGGUUAACUAUUGGAAACGAUAGCUAAUACCGCAUAACAGUAGAUGUUGCAUGACAUUUGCUUAAAAGGUGCAAUUGCAUCACUACCAGAUGGACCUGCGUUGUAUUAGCUAGUUGGUGGGGUAACGGCUCACCAAGGCGACGAUACAUAGCCGACCUGAGAGGGUGAUCGGCCACACUGGGACUGAGACACGGCCCAGACUCCUACGGGAGGCAGCAGUAGGGAAUCUUCGGCAAUGGACGGAAGUCUGACCGAGCAACGCCGCGUGAGUGAAGAAGGUUUUCGGAUCGUAAAGCUCUGUUGUAAGAGAAGAACGAGUGUGAGAGUGGAAAGUUCACACUGUGACGGUAUCUUACCAGAAAGGGACGGCUAACUACGUG
rnacentral:rRNA from 1 species